CACCAUGGAAACCCUUGUGCUCAUGGGCCUGGUCUCAAGACGCAGUCAGCUGUUGGGGAUCAGAGGCCGCACUCAUCGUAGCAGAGAGGCAGGACCAGCUGGGAGAGGGUCCUUCUGUGACACCGACGGCAUCACCGGGCUGUGGGAAGUGACUCAGCUGCCAGAACUCACACAAUAUCAUUCUGCACCAAAGCCUCAUGGGAAAAAUGCUCCACGACCCUCAGACUUAAACAGCAGCACUGGCUCCUCCCCAGAUCUCCAGCUCCCUGACCCUCAAACUCCAACUCCAGCACCAGCCCCGCCCGGGUCUCCAGCUCCACCAUCCUCAAACUCCAACAGCAGCACCAGCUCCCGCGUGGAUCUCCAGCUCAAUGACUCGCAGACUUGGGAGGCAGCACCGGCUCCCCACCAAGGCUCCAGCUCCACAACACUCAAACUAGAACAGCAGCACCGGCUACUCCCUGGCUCUCCAGCUCCCUCAAACUCAACGAUAGCACUGGCUGUUCCCCGGGACCACCAGCUCCACAACCCCCAACUUACACGGUGGUAGCAUCAGCUCCUCCCUCAGUCUCCAGCUCCACGACCAUCAAACUUGAACUGCAACACCAGCUCCUCUUCGGCCUCCAGCUCCACAAUCCUCAAACAACAAUAGCAACACCGGUGCCUCCCUGAAUCUCCAGCUCAACAACUCUCAGACUUGAGAGGCAGCACCGGCACCUCCAAGGCUCCAGCUCCACGACCCUCAGAUUUGAACAGUGGUAGCACCACCUCCUGUCCAGGUCUCCAGCUUCACUAUCCUUAAACAAGAAAAGCAGCACUGUCGCUUCCCUGGGUUUCCAGCUCCAUGACCCUAAGACAUGAAUGACAGAACCAGGUCACCCCCAGGGCUCCAGCUCCAAGACCCACAGAUUUGAACGGCAGCCCUGGCUCUUCCCGGGAUCUCCAGCUCCACGGCCCUCAGACUAGAUCAGCAGCACCAGCUCCUCCCUGGGUCUCCCUUCAGCUCCACAAUCCUCAGACAUGAACAAUAGCACCGGCUCCUCCCUGGGUCUCCAGCUCUACAACCCUCAGACAUGAACAGCAGCAGCACCAGCUCCUCCCCCUGUCUCCAGUUCCACCAACCUCAAACUACAACAGCAGUACCAGCCUCUCCCCAGGUCUCCAGAUCCACGACCCUCAAAAUACAAUGGCAUGACCGGCUCCUCCCUCGGUCUCCUGCUCCCAAACCCUCAAACUUCAAGUGACACACCGGACCCUCCCCACAGUUAAACAGCAGCACAGGCUCUUCCCUAAAGCUCCAGAUCCACGACACUCUGACUUAAAUGCUGGUAGCACCGGCUCCUCCCUAGGUCUCCAGUUCCACGACAAUCAAACUACACAGCAGCACUGGCUCUUCCCCAAGUCUCAGGCUCCAUGACCCUCAGACUUAAAAAGCCGUAGUGCGGGCUUCUCCUUGGGUAUCCAGCUCUACAACCCUGAGACAUGAACAGCAGCAGCACCAGCUCCUCCCCCUGUCUCCAGUUGCACGAACCUCAAACUACAAUAGCAGUACCGGCCUCUCCCCAGGUCUCCAGAUCCACGAUCCUCAAAAUAGAAUGGCAUCACCGGCUCCUCCCUGGUUCUCCAGCUCCCAAACCCUCAAACUUCAAUUGACACACUGGACCCUCCCGACAGUUAAACAGCAGCAUGGGCUGUUCCCCAAAACUACAGAUCCAUGACCCUCUGACUUAAAUGGCAGUAGCACCAACUCCUCCCAAGGUCUCCAGUUCCACGACAAUCAAACUACGCAGCAGCGCCGGCUCCUCCCCAGGUCUACAGCUCCACCAUCCUCACACUAGACACCGAGACUACCUCCUCCCUGCUCUCCAGCUACACGACCCUCAGACUUGAACAGCAGCAGCAGCUCCUCCCUGUACCUCAAGCCCCGUGACCCUCAGACCUGAACAACAGCAAUAACAGCUCCCUCCGGUGUCUCCAGCUCCACAACCCUCAGCCUUAAACACCAGCACCAGCUCCUCUCUGGUUCUCCACCUCCACAAGCCUCAGGCAUGAACAACAGCAUCCGCUCCUCCCUGGGUCUCCAUAUUCACUGCCCUGACUAGAACAGCAACACCGGUUCCUCCCUGGAUCUCCAGCUCAAUGACUCUCAGACUUGAAAGGAAGCACCAGCUCCUCCGUGGGUCUCCGGAACCACGACACUCAAAACAACACGGAUCCUCCCUGGGUCUGCAGCUCCACCACCUUCAAACUAGAACAAGACCAUUCCUCCCGAGGUCGCCACCUUCCAGACCCUCUUACUACAACAACAUUGCUCCUCCCUGGGUCUGCAGCUCCACGACCCUGAAACUGGAACAAGAUCUCUCCUCCCUGGGUAGCCAGCUUCCAGACCCUCAAACUAUAACAUUGCUCCUCCCUGGGUCUGCAGGUCCAUGACACUCAAACGAGAAAAAGAUCUCUCCUCCCCGGGUCGACACCUUCCAGACCCUUUUACUACAACAACAUUGCUCCUUCCUCGGUCUGCAGCUCCACGACCCUGACACUAGAACAAGACCUCUCCUCCCUCAGUCUCCAGCUUCCCAACCCUUGAACUUCAACAAUAUUGCUUCUCCCUGGGUCUGCAACUCCACGACCCUCAAACCAGAACAAAACCUCUCCGCCCUGGAUCACCAGCUUCCAGACCCUCGACCUUCAACAACAUUGCUCCUCCCUGGGUCUGCAGCUCCACGACCCUCAAACCAGAACAAGACCUCCCCUCCCUGGGUCGCCAGGUUCCAGACCCUCCUACUACAACAACAUUGCCCCUGCCUGGGUCUGCAGUUCCACGACCUUCAAACUAGAACAUGACCUCUCCUCCCUGGGUCGCCAGGUUCCAGACCCUCAAACUUCAACAUUGCUCCUGCCUGGGUCUGCAGUUCCACAACCCUGAAACUAGAACAAGACUUCUCCUCCCUGGGUGGCCAGCUUCCCAACCCUGGAACUUCAACAAUAUUGCUUCUCCCUGGGUCUGCAACUCCACGACCCUCAAACGAGAACAAGACCUCUCCACCCUAUGUCACCAGGUUCCAGACCCUCGACCUUCAACAACAUUGCUUUUGCCUGGGUCUGCGGCUCCACGACCCUCAAACUAGAACAAGACUUCUCCCUGGGUCGACAGCUUCCAGACCCUCAAAUUGCAACAUUGCUCCUCCCUGGGUCUGCAGCUCCAUGACCCUCAAAUGAGAACAAGACCUCUCCUCCCUGGGUCGACAGCUUCCAGACUCUCUUACUACAACAUUGCUUCUGCCUGGGUCUUCAUCUAGACGACCCUCAAACUACAACAUGACCUCUCCUCCCUGGGUCGACAGCUUCCAGACACUUGAACUACAACAUUGCUUCUCCCUGGGUCUGUAGCUCCACGACCCUCAAACUAGAACAUGACCUCUCCUCCCUGGGUCACCAGGUUCCCAACCCUUGAACUUCAACAACAUUGUUCCUCCCUGGGUCUGCAGGUCCGUGACCCUCAAAUGAGAACAAGACCUCUCCUCCCUGGGUCGACAGCCUCCAGACCCUUGAGCUGCAACAACAUCGCUGCUGCCUGGGUCUGUAGCUCCACGACCCUCAAGCUAGAACAUGACCUCUCCUCCCUGGGUCGCCAGGUUCCAGGCCCUCAAACUUCAACAACAUUGCUCUUGCCUGGGUCUGGAGCUCCACGACCCUCAAACUACAACAUGACCUCUCCUCCCUGGGUCGCCAGCUCCCAGACCCUCUUACUACAACAACAUUGCUCCUCCCUGGGUCUGUAGCUCCACGACCCUCAAACUAGAACAUGACCUCUCCUCCCUGGGUCACCGUGUUCCCAACCCUUGAACUUCAACAACAUUGCUCCUCCCUGGGUCUGCAGCUCCACGACCCUCAAACUACAACAUGACCUCUCCUCCCUGGGUCGCCAGCUCCCAGACCCUCGAGCUUCAACAACAUUGCUCCUGCCUGGGUCUGUAGCUCCACGAACCUCAAGCUAGAACAUGACCUCUCCUCCCUGGGUUGCCAGGUUCCAGACCCUCCUACUACAACAACAUUGCUCCUGCCUGGGUCUGCAGCUCCACGACCCUCAAACUAGAAGAAGACCUCUCCUCCCUGGGUCGACAGCUUCCAGACUCUCUUACUACAACAACGUUGCUCCUCCCUGGUUCUGCAGCUCCAUGACCCUCAAACCAGAACGAUUUCUCCUCCCUCGGUCAUCAGCUUCCAGAACCUCGAACUUCAACAACAUUGCUCCUCCCUGGGUCUGCAGUUCCACGACCCUCAGAUUCGAACAAGACCUCUCUGCCCUGAGUCACCAGCUUCCAGACCCUCGAACUUCAACAUUGCUCCUCCCUGGGUCUGCAGCUCCAUGACCCUCAAAUGAGAACAAGACCUCUCCUCCCUGGGUCGACAGCUUCCAGACUCCCUUACUACAACAACAUUGCUCCUGCCUGGGUCUGCAGCUCCACGACCCUGAAACUAGAACAAGACUUCUCCUCCCUGGGUCUCCAGCUUCCCAACCCUAGAACUUCAACAACAUUGCUUCUCCCUGGGUCUGCAACUCCACGACCCUCAAACUAGAACAUGAACUCUCCUCCCUGGGUCACCAGGUUCCAGACCCUCGAACUUCAACAACAUUGCUCCUCCCUGGGUCUGCAGCUCCAUGACCCUCGAAAUACAACAUGACCUCUCCUCCCUGGGUCGCCAGCCUCCAGACCCUCGAACUUCAACAACAUUGCUCCUGCCUGGGUCUGCAGCUCCACGACCCUCAAACUAGAACAUGAUCUCUCCUCCCUGGGUCGCCAGGUUCCAGACCCUUGAACUACAACAUUGCUCCUCCCUGGGUCUGCAGCUCCACGACCCUCAAACUAGAACAUGACCUCUCCUCCCUGGGUCGCCAGGUUCCAGACCCUCAAACUUCAACAACAUUGCUCCUGCCUGGGUCUGGAGCUCCACGACCCUGAAACUAGAAGACUUCUCCUCCCUGGGUCUCCAGCUUCCCAACCCUCAAACUUCAACAACAUUGUUCCUCCCUGGGUCUGCAACUCCACAACCCUCAAACAAGAACAAGAUCUCUCCUCCCUGGGUCGACAGCUUCCAGACUCUCUUACUACAACAACAUUGCUCCUCCCUGGGUCCGCAGCUCCACGACUCUCAAACUAGAACAAGACCUCUCCUCCCUGGGUCGCCAACUUCCAGACCCUCGAACUACAACAUUGCUCCUGCCUGGGUCUGCAGCUCCACGACCCUCGAAAUACAACAUGACCUCUCCUCCCUGGGUCGCCAGCCUCCGGACCCUUGAACUUCAACAACAUUGCUCCUCCCUGGGUCCGCAGCUCCACGACCCUCAAACUAAAACAAGACCUCUCCUCCCUGGGUUGCCAGGUUCCAGACCCUCGAACUUCAACAUCAUUGCUCCUGCCUGGGUCUGCAGCUCCAUGACCCUCAGACUAGAACAAGACUUCUCCUCCCUGGAUCGACAGCUUCCAGACCCUUGAACUACAACAUUGCUCCUGCCUGGCGCUGAAGCUCCAUGACCCUCAACUAGAACUGAACUCUCCUCCCUGGGUC